UCCAGGUCCCUGGUUGGUCACAAUUUUCCUCUAGUUUCAUUGCUUUGAUGCAUGUAUAUUCCUUUGUGUGAAACAAUUUAUUUGCUCAUGAAAAUUUAAAUCAUGUUGUUACUAGAAAAAAAAAUAGGCCAUCGGAAUAGGUCAAGGAGUGACUGUCUUCAUUCGGAACAAUCAUAUCAUUCCUGCAAAGGAGACUUUUUUGACAAACUGAAUACAAUAAACUCAUCAUUUGCAAAGAAUAUUAUUUGGAGAUAAGUGUUGAAUUUGUUGAAUAUAUUAAAUUUUGUAUUGGC